rnacentral:lncRNA from 1 species
AUGCAUUUGAGUAUGAUUCAUAUAGAAUUCAGUAGUAAAGUCAUUAGAUCCUGGACUUUUCUUUGGAAAAGAAAUGGGAAAAGAUGCAAGGUUUUUGUUUCUUUUUUUUUUUUUUUUUUUGGCUCUGUCACCCAGGCUGGUGUGCGGUGGCUCAGUCUUGGCUCACUGCAGUCUUCGCCUCUCUGGCCCAAGCAAUUCUCCUGCCUCAACCUCCAAGUAGCUGGGACUACAGGCAUGCACAACCAUACAUUUUGUAUGUUUUGUAGAGGCAGGGUUUCACCAUGUUGGCCAGGCUGGUCUUGAACUCCUGGGCUCAAGUGAUCCACCUUCUUUGUCCUUUCAAAGUGUUGGGAUUACAGGUUUGAGCCACCAUGCCUGGCUGGGAGAUUUUUAAUUAAGGCUUUGAUUCCAUUAUUUGUUACUGGUUUGUUGAGGUUUUCUUUUCUUUCCUGGUUCAAUUUUGGUAGGUUGUGUGUCCAUGAAUUUAUCCAUUUUUCUGGGUUUUUCAAUUUGUUAGCUUGUAUAGUUGUUGAUAGUAGUCUCUAAUGAGUCUUUGUAUUUCUGAGGUCUCAGCUAUAUCUUUUUUUUCCAUUUCUAAUUUAUUUGGGUCUUCUCCUUUUUUUCCUCAGUCUAGCUAAAUAUUUAUUGAUUUUAUCUAUCUUUUCAAAAUCCAGCUUUUCAUUUUUUUAAAAUUUUCUUCUGUUUUUUGUUUUUUUGUUUUUGUUUUUGUUUUUUUUGUCUCAGUUUAUUUCCGUUCUCACUUUUAUUAUGUCCCUCUUACUACUAAUUUUGGAUUUAGUUUGUUCUUUUGUAGUUCCUUGGAGUGCAUUGUUGCGUUGUAUAUUUGAAGUCUACUUUUUAAAUAUAGAUGUUUAUUGCUGUAAACUUUCCUCUUAGUAUCGCUUUUGCCAAAUCCCGUAGAUUUUGUGUUUGGUUUUCAUUUUUUUCAAGAAAUUAAAAAAAAUUUAAUUAAGUUUCUUUAUUGACCUAUUCGUUGUUCAGGAGCAUGUUGUUUAAUUUCCAUGUAUUUGUGUGUUUUCAGAGGUUUCCCUUGCUACUGAUUUCUAGGUUUAUUCUGUUGUGGUCAGAAAAGACAGUUUGCCGUAUGAUUUUCGCUUUUUUGAAUUUGUUGAGGCUUGUUUCAUGGCAUUGUAUUGUCUGUGUAUUUGAUUUUACCAGUAGCUUUUAUAUUUUUAAAUAUUUUCUUUUUUGUACAUUAUUUGUUUUUCUUUCUGAUUGAAGAACUUAUAUCUUACAUUCCUGUAAGAUGAGUCUGGUGGUGAUAAAUUCUCUCAGGUUUUGUUUCUUAGGAAAAAAAAAUUCUCUCUCCAUUUUAUUUGAAGUAUAGCUUUGCUAGAGACAGUAUUCUUGCAUGUCAGUGUUUUUGUUUUGUUUUGUUUUUUAUUUUUAUUUUCAUCACUUUGAAAAUGUUGUCGCCCUCCCUUCUUACCUGUAUGAUUUCCAUUGAGAAGUCUGUUGGGAGCCAAAUUGAAUCUCUAUGUUUUUACUUUUCUCAUGCUUCUUUUAGGAUCCUCUCUUCGUUUUUGACCUUUUGAGAGUCUGAUUAUUAUAUAUGCCUUGGGGUAGUCUUAUUUGGGUCACAUCUGUUUGGUAUGUCUGACCUUCCUUUACCUGGAUUUUAUCUCCUUCUCAAGUUUUGAAAAGUUUUCUGUUAUUAUUGCUUUCCACUUUCUGCUGUUUCUCCACUUCCUCUUAAAUACCAAUAAUUCUUAGAUUUGGUCUUUUUAGGUAAUUUUGUAUAUGUCUUUUAGGUUAUCUUCAUUUCUUUUCAUUGUUGUUUUUUUCUUCUCUGACAGGAUUCUUAAAUAGCCUAUCUUUGAGCUCACUGAUUCUUUCCUCUCUUCAUUCUGUUGUUGAAAGUCUCUGAUAUGUUUGCAUGUGUCCCCACCCAAAUCUCAUCUUGAAUUGUAACUCCCACAGUUCCCACAUGUCCUGGGAGGGUCCCAGUGGGAGGUGAUUGAAUCACUGGAGUGUGUCUGUUCUUGUGAUAGUGAAUAAGUCUCACGAGAUCUGAUGGCUUUAAAGAGAGGAGUUCCCGGCCGGGCUGGUGGCUCACGCCUGUAAUCCCAGCACUUUGGGAGGCCAAGGCAGGAGGAUCACCUGAGGUCAAGAGUUCGAGACCAGCCUGGCCAACAUGGUGAAACCUCCUCUCUACUAAAAAUACAAAAAUUAGCCAGGCGUGGUGGCAGGUGCCUGUAAUCCCAGCUACUUGGGAGGCUGAGGCAGGAGAAUUGCUUGAACCUGGGAGGCAGAGAUUGCAGUGAGCUGAGAUCCCGCCACUGCAGUCCAGCCUGGGGGACAAGAGCAAGACUUCAUCUC